UCACACUUCUGUAAAGCUGAGUGUCAUUAAUCUUCUUCUUCUUGUAAUGAUGGAAAUCAUUCAUUUAGCAUUUAUGACAGUACUCAUGGAAAUUGGUGGACUGGAAAACUGAAUUGGUUUUCAUCUUCUCAAGAUGUUAAGUUAGCCACUCGAAGUUGAGAUUGUCUAUGAUCGAGUGUAUGUACGUAAGUACGUAACUGUAACCAAGUGCGCAGUUGCAAAAGCUGAAAUCUCUCUGUUCGAGACGAGUACAGCAACGCUGAGGGGAAACGAAUGUCUCUCCCCUUAUAUUCAUUUGAAAUGACUUAUUUCUCCCUUGUAAAAGGGAACCAGUACAGAGGUCCUGUGUAAGAACCAGUAUAGGGGUCCAGUGUAAGAACCAGUAUAGGGGUCCAGUGUAAGAACCAGUAUAGGGGUCAAGUGUAAGAACCUGUAUAGGGGUCCAAUGUAAGAACCAGUAUAAGAAUCGGUGUUGGUUCUAACUGGUAUUGAAGGAGUACAGCUAGGAAUAAGCUGCUUUUACAAUGUACCCACCUACUGUUAAGAAGAAAUAUUAAAAAAAAACCC